GCUGGGCAUGGUAACACACACCUGUAAUCCCAGAAACUCAGGAGGCUGAGGCAGGAGGAUCACAAGUUCAAGGCCAGCCUCAGCAACUUAGUGAGACCCUGUCUCAA
rnacentral:sRNA from 1 species